rnacentral:tRNA from 1 species
GGGGAUGUAGCUCAGCUGGGAGAGCACCUGCUUUGCAAGCAGGGGGUCAGCGGUUCGAAUCCGCUCAUCUCCACCA